rnacentral:tRNA from 1 species
GCCCUCUUAGCUCAGUUGGUAGAGCAACGCACUUGUAAUGCGUAGGUCGUCAGUUCGAAUCCGACAGAGGGCA